UUUGUCUCUUUUGCUUACUCUCGAAAUGUAACAAGACUAUCCUGCUGUCAAAAGUGUCAAAUUCUUCGCAACUUUAGAUCCAUUUUGCGGGUGUUGUGCAGUAAUUACAUAAUUUUUCAAAUCAGGAUGGCCGGAGACUCUUCUGUCGAUGAAUCCCAGCUCAAAGGCUUAGCAAAAUACUUCAACAGUCAGACAAACAGAGGAAGAUUAAAUACGGCCAGAGCCACAUAUGCAGUAAUGGG